rnacentral:rRNA from 1 species
GAAAAGUGGAGACCUGCAGUCGGUUGUGACGUCGACGUCUGGAGGCGGGUGGGCGAACGGGCGGAGCGAGAUCGAGGUGGGUGAGUUAACCGAGGGAUGUCCAUCGAGGGGGGUUCUGUGGCUAAUACAUGCAGGCUCGAGACGAGCACACAUGCUAGCUUUGAAACCAAUUAGUGAUGGUCUGAACAAUGUGUCGAUUGAUACAACAUGCCAAAUAAACUUCAAACCUAUCAGCUCGUCAGUAUACUAGCGGUUUACUGAGGCGUCGACGGGUAGCGGGGAAUUAGGGUUCGAUUCCGGAGAGGGAGCCUGAGAGACGGCUACCACAUCUAAGGAUGGCAGCAGGCGCGCAAAUUACCCAAUCCCGAUACGGGGAGGUAGUGACUUGAUAUAGCAGCGGUGAACUUAUGUUCGCCGAUUGCAAUGAAUGAAUUGUAAAGGUGUUUGUUAGUAGCAAUUGGAGGGCAAGUCUGGUGCCAGCAGCCGCGGUAAUUCCAGCUCCAAUAGCAUAUAUUAAAGUUGCUGCAGUUGAAGCGUUCGUAGUCGGAUCUUACGUGUGAGUCUUGAAAAAGACAAGCACAAUUGAUAGCUGGCAAGCCAGUUUAUUAGCGGUUACUUUGAGGAAAAGAAUUAGCUCAAAUUGAGUUUUUGUUUGGUUCUUGUAGCAUGGAAUAACACAAGAAGCUUUUCUUUGUGGGUUUCACAAAUAAGAGAAUAAUCUACAAGGAUGCACGGAGGCACCUGUAUUUACAGGAGAGAGGUGAAAUUCUGAGACCCUGUAAAGACAAUCAAUUGCGAAAGCAUCUGCCUAGUGCGUUCCUGCUGAUCAAGGACGAAAGUUGGGGUAUCCAAGACGAUUAGAUACCGUCGUAGUCCCAACAGUAAACAAUACCGACAGGAGUUUGGUAGAUUAUGUUGUCAGACUCUCGAAAGAAAUUCGAGUUUUUGGGUCCUGGGGGGAGUAUGGUCGCAAGACUGAAACUUGAAGGAAUUGACGGAAGGGCACCACCAGGAGUGGAGCCUGCGGCUUAAUUUGAGUCAACACGGGAAAGCUUACCAGACCCGAACAUGGUCGUGAUUGACAGAUGGAGAGAUCUUUCUUAAUUCUAUGGGUGGUGGUGCAUGGCCGUUCUUAGUCGGUGAGGCGACUUGUCUGGUUAAUUCCGAUAACGGACGAGACUUUUGCUGAUUCUUUGCAAAUGCCAAUUAAAUUGGUAAUGUCAUGAAUAAGGACUCUGGGGGUUCAACCUUAGGUAAGAUAGAAGCUAUAACAGGUCUGUGAUGCCCUUAGAUGGUCUGGGCUGCACGUGUGCUACAAUGAUUUUGAAAAUAAGCUGUGGAAUUCGCAAGAUAAACGCAAUCAGACAAUCAAAGUCGUAUAGGGAUUAAAUUUUGUAAUUGUGGUUUAUGAACGAGGAAUUCCUAGUAAGUAUAGUUCACUAUUGUGUGCUGAUUGCGUCCCUGCCCUUUGUACACACCGCCCGUCGCUUCAACCGAUUGGACGACCCGGUGAAUGCCGCGGAGGCCAGUAAUCACGCUGCCGAAGUGGUGUAAACCUUGUCGUUUAGAGGAUGAAGAAGUCGUAACACGGUAUCCGUAGGUGAACCUGCACAA